UGUGGGAGAUCUUUGGAGACAGGGAGGCA
rnacentral:piRNA from 1 species